rnacentral:misc_RNA from 1 species
UUCUCUCUCAUCGCCGGCCUAGAUCAUGAGCUACUACAACCAGCAGCCCCCCGUCGGAGUCCCGCCGCCCCAAGGUUAUCCGCCGGAGGGGUACGCGAAGGACGCCUAUCCGCCGCCGGGGUACCCACCGCAGGGGUAUCCUCCUCAGCAGGGGUACGCGCAGGGAUAUCCUCCUCAGCAGGGGUAUCCGCCGCAGGGGUACCCUCCGCAGUACGCGCAGCAGCCGCAGCAGCAGCAGAACAGCGGUCCCUCGUUCAUGGAGGGAUGCCUGGCCGCCCUGUGCUGUUGCUGCUUGUUGGAAGCUUGCUUUUGAGGUGAAGACUUUGUAAGGACAUUGAGACUAGUUG